UUGGCUGUUUCCAAAGGAGGAAAAUUACCACAGCAAGUCUUGGGCUGCCUUUACCCCUACACACUUUGGAACUCUAAGCCUUGAUGUGGUCACUGAAUGCAGGACCAGCAGCAGCAGUGACUGUUCUGCAGAAAAGGUGCUGGUAUGUGCUGGGAAGACAAAUGGGGAGAUUUUUGUCAGAAGAAAUGGAGUUGAAUCUUCACUUAUCUCCAGGCCUCAAAUUUCUCCAUAUGUCCCAAAAUAUUUGCUUUCAAGAUUUCCCAGGCUGGACAGGGAAGACAGAGUCUGCUGCUGUCCAGUGCAUAAGUGCUAGAACUGACUGCAGGACAACACAGACAUCACUGUUAAUCCAUCAGCUGCUGGUUGUUCAUAGCAUUUCUUUAUCCAUGGCCUAUGGAAAUCAAUACAUCUGGUUUUAUUUGGACAACAGUGAAGGGUUUGGAUCCUUCCUGCAUUGCAAGAGUAACUUCAGGCUUGGUUUAAUGCCCUGA
rnacentral:lncRNA from 1 species